rnacentral:rRNA from 1 species
AGAGUUUGAUCCUGGCUCAGAUUGAACGCUGGCGGCAGGCCUAACACAUGCAAGUCGAGCGGCAGCACGGGUACUUGUACCUGGUGGCGAGCGGCGGACGGGUGAGUAAUGCCUAGGAAUCUGCCUGGUAGUGGGGGAUAACGCUCGGAAACGGACGCUAAUACCGCAUACGUCCUACGGGAGAAAGCAGGGGACCUUCGGGCCUUGCGCUAUCAGAUGAGCCUAGGUCGGAUUAGCUAGUUGGUGAGGUAAUGGCUCACCAAGGCGACGAUCCGUAACUGGUCUGAGAGGAUGAUCAGUCACACUGGAACUGAGACACGGUCCAGACUCCUACGGGAGGCAGCAGUGGGGAAUAUUGGACAAUGGGCGAAAGCCUGAUCCAGCCAUGCCGCGUGUGUGAAGAAGGUCUUCGGAUUGUAAAGCACUUUAAGUUGGGAGGAAGGGCAUUUACCUAAUACGUAAGUGUUUUGACGUUACCGACAGAAUAAGCACCGGCUAACUCUGUGCCAGCAGCCGCGGUAAUACAGAGGGUGCAAGCGUUAAUCGGAAUUACUGGGCGUAAAGCGCGCGUAGGUGGUUUGUUAAGUUGGAUGUGAAAUCCCCGGGCUCAACCUGGGAACUGCAUUCAAAACUGACAAGCUAGAGUAUGGUAGAGGGUGGUGGAAUUUCCUGUGUAGCGGUGAAAUGCGUAGAUAUAGGAAGGAACACCAGUGGCGAAGGCGACCACCUGGACUGAUACUGACACUGAGGUGCGAAAGCGUGGGGAGCAAACAGGAUUAGAUACCCUGGUAGUCCACGCCGUAAACGAUGUCAACUAGCCGUUGGGAGCCUUGAGCUCUUAGUGGCGCAGCUAACGCAUUAAGUUGACCGCCUGGGGAGUACGGCCGCAAGGUUAAAACUCAAACUCAAAGGAAUUGACGG